rnacentral:rRNA from 1 species
UGGGGAAUUUUGGACAAUGGGCGAAAGCCUGAUCCAGCAAUGCCGCGUGUGUGAAGAAGGCCUUCGGGUUGUAAAGCACUUUUGUCCGGAAAGAAAUCCUUGGCUCUAAUACAGUCGGGGGAUGACGGUACCGGAAGAAUAAGCACCGGCUAACUACGUGCCAGCAGCCGCGGUAAUACGUAGGGUGCAAGCGUUAAUCGGAAUUACUGGGCGUAAAGCGUGCGCAGGCGGUUUGCUAAGACCGAUGUGAAAUCCCGGCGUCAACCUAGGCAACUGGCAAUGUGAUGCUGGCAGGCUAGAGUAUGGCAGAGGGGGUGAGAAUAUCCACGUGUAGCAGUGAAAUGCGUAGAGAUGUGGAGGAAUACCGAUGGCGAAGGCAG